UCUCCGCUGCUGCGCGCGCUCCCGCUGGCUCUCCACCACCGGUCUCUUCCCAGUCUGGCAGGCCGCUUAGCUCGACGUGGAGUGGGAGUGGCGCCAAAAUUCAAACGAACUGCCGCAGUUGCAGGCGUGGUAUCGCCUGCUUCGAGAAGGUUGGCAGCCAGGAGUGGCCUUGACCUCACCCCAACUCUAACCCGGUGGCAGCCGCGCUGGGGAAGGGCAGAACUACACAGGUGCCUCUGAGGCCUCACCUUAGGACUGUUGGCAAGCCUGGAGGGUUCUCCAGGACUGAACUACAACAUCCUGGUGUCUGCUUGCCUAGAGGACUGGAAAGAACUAUUGCUGACCUGGUCUGCUUCUCUUGUAUCCUAAUAACUUUUUUUUUCCUACUACCUCUGCUGGGUGGAGGACUAGAGGAGAGGCAAAGAUAGGACCUCGUUGACCGUGCUGCAGGCGGGCUGAUCGUAAAUCAGUUAAGAAACGAGUCAGCUUCUUAAAGGAGUCUAAAACCUACUGAUGUAGCCACCUUAGGGUCCUUCAUGAUUGCUUUUUACUUCAAAGAACUGUGUAAAAAGACCAGACACAGCAGGGAGUCUUCGGACUUUUCACAUGAAUGCUUUCAAGCAUCUGUGGCAAUAUCUUAGUUUACAUAUGCAGUCAACUGGACAGCAGACACAACUCUUCAUGGAUGGGCAGCACCCCUGAACUACAUGCUGUACUCUCAGCCAUGAUGCUAUUGUCUUCAGAUCUUCUUAGAUGAAUGGAAGGCUCAACCAAGGAAGCAAGGGCAUCCCACAGCAUGAACAGACUCAUGUUUUCACUUUCUCUCUGUAUACAGUUUUGAGAGCCAGGAAUUCUUAGGUUGUUUUCUGAAGCAAGGAUGAUAACAAUAUCCAGGCACAAAUGCCAAGGAGACCAAUGAGAUAAUAAACUAUAAAUUUCA
rnacentral:lncRNA from 1 species